rnacentral:rRNA from 1 species
UGCGGUAUCCUGACCGUACUAAGGUAGCGUGAUAAGUUGCCCUUUAAUUGGGGGCUUGAAUGAACGGACACACGAGAGUUUAGCUGUCUCUUUUAUAAAUAUGGAAAUUAAUCUUUAGGUGAAAAAACCUAAAUAGACUCAAAGGACAAAAAGACCCCAUAGAGCUUUGUUUUCAUUUAUUUCUUUAAAAUCCUAUAUAUAGAAUUUAUUUUAAAUAAUAAAAAAACUUAACUGGGGCGGUUGAAGAAAAAAAAAACUUCUUUUAAAGCAUAAAAACAAAUAACGGUUUAACAAACCUUUUUUCUAAAAUUGAUCCUAAACACCAAUACUAAUAUAAACCUAUAUAUUUCUAUCUAGCUAAACAUAUUAUAUUUAUUUUUUGACCAAAGGAAAAGCUACCUUGGGGAUAACAGAUUUAUCCUUCUUAAGAGUCCAUAUUGACAGAAGGGUUUGGCACCUCGAUGUUGGCUUAGGAA